UUUCAGUUUACAAUCGUUUUUGUAAUAAUUUUAGUUUUCUGUAAUAAAGUCUAACAGAAUCAGCUGCGUUUUGCAAAAAUGUUCAGACGCUGUCACCUAGCGGCCGUUUCCAGUAGCAUUAGCAUUAGCAUUGUCACGCAUCGCUCUACUUCCCGUGUUUAAUACAGACCACAGCACAAGUAGCUUGUGGCUAACAAGGGAGCGGUUUCGUAUUUUAUUGUUUCUUUCAGCUGUGCGCGUGCACGGCCACACAGACUAACCCCAACGCUAAUAUUAACCCUAACUGCAGGUCGCGCGCAACAAAAAACUUCCUACUUCCCGACUGGAGCAGAAAUAACACGAGAAGAAACGUUACUAACUUUAUCCCAAAUACCCCCAAAUACCCCAGUCUUUAAAGAAAAUAGUUCUCUUGUCUUUCACCCAAGAAUGGCUAAAUGAAAUGGUUCAUGUUUGCCAGAGAUAAAAUGGAAAACCUUCCUUCUCAGUAUCUCAGAGAGAUGUUUACUGGUAAAUAUGGAGAGAUGUUUACUGGUAAAUCCAGCGGAAAUUAUUGCUCGAUUUCCUGAAGGUGAGCUUAAGGAAUGGUCCGCUUUUAACCGAGAAACACUGGAUUCAAAAACACUUGGUUUAGAGCAUGGUACAGAUGACGUAAGCAGACUGACAGAGAAGGCCCAAAGUAUUUUAAAACAAUGGGAGAAGACUGCCACAGAGCAGAGGAUAGGGGUUAGAUAUAUCCGUCAGCAGUAUAAGGAUUUCAGGUUCACGAUGAAAGAAAAGCAGAUGGGAGCACUGUGGACAUUGGCUGAGAUGGUGACCUGGACAGUAAAAAGAGAGGAGUUCACUGAUAUGAGUUUGUACAGCUGAUUGGUGUUUGUGGUACAUUCCCAGUGUCCAGUGCAGACUGUGAACACGUUUCAGUCUGAUUAAUCUUAUCAAAAGAAAAUCACAAAACCGACUUCAGACCAUCCACUUCAUCAGAUAAUGAGAGUCCAAUCUACACAAGCAGACGCCCUAUAAAUCUGGGCAAGGUCCACACCACUGGAAAACAGACGAGACAGAUGGGGAAAGUUUUAAGAUGCUGCUCUGAGAGAGGCCUUCCACAAACCUGCAGGGCCAGACAAUGGACUGAUUAUAUAUAUUAUGUGUUGGAGCUCCAGUUGCUGUUAAAGGCUGUGAGAGAUGUUGAGCAGUAAAAGUGACCAGGAGAUCGGCUGGAUGCUGGACGAUUACGGGAUUAAACACGGUCCUGUGGUCGGUUCCACCAGAUCUCUGUAUGAGAAGAAGCUGAGAGAUGUGAUUGCUAAAGAGAGGAAAAUGAGAGGAACAUCAGAGCGAGUUGCCUACAGAGAACAACAGGAUGAAGACCUGUACGUUCACCAGCGCAGACCUUGGGGACACGACGCUUUCAGCAGUAGGGGAAACGCCAUGUUCAGCACUAAGGACAGAGAGGUGGACAUUGGGAAUGAGCCCAUGGUGUCUCAGUACUACACUGUGACCCAGGGGAACUACACAGCAGUGAGACAGGAGAGGACGCAGGAGAGGACGCAGGAGAGGACGCAGGAGAGGACGCAGGGUUCAGGACAAUUCGUCCCUCUGUGGUUGCAGAUUGUGUUCUUCCUCAUCGUAGCUGGUGUCCUAAUGUUCAUCUUCAUCAACAUGGAGCCAGCUCAGAGCGAGCCUUUCAAUCGACUCACAUAACACACGCUUCUCACGUCACACACGCUUCUCACAUCACACACAUCACAAACAUCAACAUGCUUCAAUCAAAC
ensembl:lncRNA